AUAUGCUCAAUCCUGGCAGAACCACUAGGGAAGUUUCAGCUUUUGGAUUACCGACCUGAUGAGGAUAUAAAGUUCUCGGCUACUACUGCAACGCCAUGCCUGUCUACUCCCUGGUAUGUUAAUGGACGGAUUCUCUAAAACUGUAAGCAAGCCCCCAAUUAAAUGUUUUAUAAGA